rnacentral:lncRNA from 1 species
CGUUUUUCUUUCAAAAUACAAAACCAUAUCAAAUCAAAUUUUGUUGAUUUAAUUUAUAACAUAGGUGCUUUAAGAUGUGAAGAAAAUCAAGCAAAGUUAUCUACUUUUGAAAAAACUGCCAUUAACGCUUACAUACAUGCAAGAAAAAAUCUAAAAUAUGGUAGAUCUAAUUUUAACGCAUGUAAUCUCAUUAAAGGAUGUAUUAAGACCACGAAAUCAACCAAAAAGGCUCUGAUACCAAUAUAGAACGCAGCGGAAGUAUUAGUUCGUACAUUUUUUGGAAGCGAUUCGCGUUACAACUCGAUGAGCCUGCAUCGUCGAGAUUGAUUCACGUGUCCUUUGAUCGUCCUUGAUUAAAUUUUCUUACGUUCCAAAUUCGCGAUGGAUCGAACUACAAACGAGCACGAUCACAAAUUCACCGUUCAAAUCCCUCUUAGAAUAAUAGGUUGAUGGAGGAUGUGGUUUCUCUCUUUCGUUUUCUUAUUCUCUUUUUUUUUUUUUCCGUUCUUGUACCUUUUGUUAUGUGGGAUCGCCCGCAUAUUUAUAAGGGAUUCCAAAAUCCUAAUAACAUUAGAGAUAAGGCCAAAUCGAUUAUUAAUUAUUAUCCUAAUAUGACUAGGAUUUAUCUCUAACUAGCUUUCAAAUUUGAAAGUGAGAUUAAUUCUAAUCCAAUUAGAUAACAUAAUAUCCGUCGGAUCGAACCCGUUUAUGGACAUACCCGAUUCGAUUUAACCGAAUGCCAACAUUAUAUAUUUAUCAUAUUAUAUAAUUUUAAUAUAUUUAAUUUAUAAAUAUAAAUUAUAAUAGUAAUAUAUAGCCUAUUAAUUAUUAUAAAUUAUAAAUAAAUAAUAUAUAGAAUACAUAAUAAAAAA